ensembl:lncRNA
GUCGCUACAUAUAACCCUGAUUGCAUGUCUGAUGGCAGAUGGAGUAUUCUGACGACGACUUUCAUACCUUUUAUGGACCUCAACACUGUUAUUUACUUGGCAGUCUAUGGGACAGUCUCAAGCCUCCCGGUUUUCAUCCAAAAUAUCUUAAAUUGUGCUCUGAAGACAAAAUGAGCUUUUACGGGUUUGGAACGACAUGGGGCAAAGUUUCAGUACUACAGUUGUCCACUGAAGUGUGAGAGUUCCCUCCAGCUGUCAUUUAUCCUGCUCAACAGUGCAAUGACUUGGCGAGCAGUCUUUCUGACGAGCGAAGGCUGUGAGAGUCAGAAAAGCCAGAUGGCCCGAUGAAGAGCAUCCAGAGUCAUCUUCUUUUACAUUCUGC